CCGCCCGCGGCCGCUGCCGCCCCCGCGGCCGCGCUUCUCCUUUCUGCCUCCGCCGCGGGGGCGUCUUUACAGCCUCCAGAAAAAGGAAGGAAGCCGCGUGGUCCUGACGCGCCGAGGUCCCCGCUGCCGUCCCCAGGCCCCUCGGGGAAACUGAGGUAGCACACCUUGAAUGGAGAGGGGGCGCUCGGACCCUUCCUUUCCACAGGGAAACAACUCCUACGCCCCGAAGUGGGGCGAGGAGAGGAGGCGGUCAAACUCCAAGCGCUGCACCUGGCUCUUGAAACUUGAACUCUGGGCGCCAGCGGUAAAUUGUGCGGAUAUUUGCUGGGGCUAGUUCCAUUAGGAAGGGGCGUGGGGGGAGGGAUUGUGGCUAUAGACCGCCGCCGCGCCCCCCACCCCAAGGCCACGGCCUACGCGUGUGACCCCAGGGCUUGGCAUCUACCACGUCGAGGCUGGGGGCCCUGGGGUCUCCCAGCGCUUAGCCACGCCGCCUAAGACUUCCUGUUGUGGGAUGCGCGCCGCGUCGCCAUGGAGACCUCUGAGGGGCCAGGGAGGUCGCGCAGCAGAAGGGGAAGGGAGGGAGCCCAGGGGACGUUCGAGCCCUUCCUUCGGAGGAUAGGGCUUCGAGUCACUUUUUCGGCUAGAAAAGCAUCCCUUCUCCUGCCCCGAUGAUUCCUAAGGGAUUUCCACGGGGAUCUUCCUACGCGGGGUGUGGUGGGUGCUGAAAUCCCUCCCCGAACUGCCUGGGCAAAGGUGCAGGGUAGGACCAGGGACGCCCCAAGCCUCGAAGGGACUGGGAAAAUCCUGUGCGGGAGGGAGAGGGGGGGUUAUUUUCCGGCGGAUUUUUCUCGGGCUUUCCGCAAUGGGUCUCUGGACUUUGGUCCACAGUGCGCGGGCGGCGAGCUCCCCCGCGCGGCCCAAGUCUUCCUUGCAGCCAUAAAAGCGCGGUUCUUUCGGAUCUCUCCCGACAGGCCCUGCGGUGUUCAGUGGGUGCCUGCUGUGAUAGGAAUCCUUCCAAGAGCUGGCGACAGGGCAGUGAUGAGGAAAGACAAACAUUUCGUCAUUGUGCAGAGAUGGUUUCAACGGCGGGGGAGCGAUAAGAAACAAAAAUAAAAUAUAUGGGGUGAGUGUUGGUGAUUAGUGCUGAGAGGAAAUAGAAUAGGAGGGAUAGGGAAUGUGAGGGUUAAUGAACUUUUAAGUAGAGUACUCUGGGAAAGACUGAGAAGGCGACAUUUGAGCAAAGACACGGGGAAGUGAGGAGGCUCCUGUGACAAUAUCAGAGAGGGAAGGUACCAGACAGAGAGUGCUGAAUGUGCAAAGGCCCUGAGGUAGGGACAGCCUGGAGGCCCAUAUGACUGGAGUGCAGUAAGGAAGGGAGGAGGAAAUGAGGGCAGGGAGGAGAUGGUGCCCGGCAUGCUUGUCAGUCUGCAGAGGACUUUGGCUUUUCUUCCCAGUGAGGUGGGAGCCAUGGAGGAGGGACAGCCCCAGCUCCAGUGUUUGCAGGCACCCUCCUGAGACAGCAGGAGCUAUGUCCCAGGGCCAGGGAGGACAGGAGGCCAGAGAGGAGGUCGUGGUGGGUAAUGAUGGGUCCUUGCUCUGGGCAGUGCCAUCAGAGAAGUGAUCUGACAUCCCUUUUGGUGGCAAGGUCAACUGCGCUUGCUGGGACAUGAGGACAGAGCGGAGUUAAGAAUGACUUCUUGGUUCUGGCCUGGUCCCCUGGGAAGACGGAGAGCCAUUUCCUGAGAUGAAGAUGGGGUGGUAAUGGGGGCCAGGUUAGCGAGAGGAGCGUCCACCUCCUGGUCUCACAUUUCCUUUGUGUUUCCUCUAGGAAAAGAAAAGUGGAGGCUCCCCAGCCCUUCGCUGAAGUUGCCAGGAAGGGCAAGGCUUCCUCCCGGGUGCCAGGCAGUCUUGGGCAGUCCAGUGAGUGGACCCACUACAGACUAGAGGCCGCGGGCUCAUGUCCCGCUUUGUGGCCUGGCCCCUGCUCUCCCUUCACUCUGAGCUGUGGCGUGGCCACCCCGCCCUUCCUGGCUGCUUCAGUGAAUUUCUUUUGUCCCCGAGCAUUCUGAACAUGCUCUAGCCCAGAAUUUCCUUCCCACCGCUUUUACAGGAGGUUCUCAGAGCAUUUCAUCCACAAGGUUGUGACAGAAGGAGGAGCAGAUUGGGGUUUGGAUCCAGGCUCUGACAACUUAGCGGCUGUUUUAGUGGACGUUCUCCCCAAAAGCAGCCCCUGGAACCAAACUUGGUGUUCUGGCAGUUUAUACCUGGGAUGGGGGUUUGGGGGGAGUCGGGGAAGGCAACCAGGAAAGCUGUGGGUUAGUGUGGAGACCUCCUUUGGGGGCCACUGUGGUUCAGUCUCACUGAGGGACCCCUUGGAGAUGGGCGGACUUUUUACGCCAAUCCUGUGCCUCGCUGGGUCUAAGCUCCUCCAGGAAUGUCAACUCCCUAAUACUUCAUUACUCCAUAUGUACAUUUCUAUUCACUUAUUUAAACAGUUUUUGGUCACCGUGCUGUCCAUCGCAUCCCAGGACCUAUUUACCUUGUAACCGGAAGUUUGUACCCUUUGACCCGCUUCACCCAUUUCCCCCACCCCCUGCCUCUGGCAACCACCAAUCUGUUCUGUAUGUAAAUUCAGGUGUUUCUUUUGUUUUGCUUUAAAGUUGAUUUAUUUAUUUUGAGAGAGAGGGCGGGGCGUAGAGAAAGAAUUCCAGGCAGGCUCCACACCGAGAACAGAGCCCGAUGCAGGAUCACACAAAGCACGAGAUCCUGGCCAGAGCUGAAAUGGGACGCUUAACCAGCUGAGCCACACAGAGAGAGAGAGAGAGAGCGAGUGUGAGCUGGCAGAGAGAGGGAGACACAGAAUCCGAAGCAGACUCCAGGCUCUGAGCUGUCAGCACAGAGCCCGACACGGGGCUCGCACCCACAAACCAUGAGAUCAUGACCUGAGCCGAAGUCGGACGCGAGAACAACUGAGCCACCCAGACACCCCGGACUCAGCCCUGAGAAUCUCACCUCCAACUUCCCAGGCAGAAAUACACGUUUCCUCUGUGUUGCCACCGAUCUGGUCGAUACAUCACAUUUCGUCCUCGCAGCCCUAGCUGGCAUGACUACUCGACUCAAGUUCACCUCUCCGACCAGACUACGAGUUUCGCGAUAGAGAUCGUGCCUGUCUUGUCCACCAGCACAGUGUCUCAUCUAAUGCACAAUGGGUGUUCAGAAAACACCUGGCAAGUAACCCAUCGGUGAAUGGUUCAGGAGAGAAGAGAAGGCCUGAGCCUAGCAGUCCAGGAGCUUCCCUCGGCCUCCCUCCCCCAGCCUCACCCCACCCGGGGACUCACAAUUCUCUUGAAGUUCUUCUGCCAGAUGGCAACCUGGUGCAAGAUAUCCAUCCUGUGGAGAACGAACAGGAUGUGAAAGGCCCCCCUCCAACUGAUGUCCUCGCCACCUCACGAGAUGCAAACAGGGGCUCCUCCCUUCCAGUGCCAGGGCCCUGUGUGAUCCGCCCCCCGCCCCCUCUGCCCCAUCUCGCACCACCUCCAGGCCCGCUCCGUCUCCAUUCUGUGAGAUGGGGUCCAGCCUCCAUGCCUUUGCGCUCACUGUUCCCUCUGCCUGAAACGCUCUUCCCCUGGCUGGUCCCUUCUCGGCCCCAAACAACAUCUCCGAGAGGAGCCUCCUUGCUAGAAAGAGGGCCACCUCUUCCUGCCUCUCCCAGUACCUUACUCUCUUCCUAGGCUUCCAACUUACUCAUUGCCACCCUCUUUAUGGGCUGCUUUGCCUCUCUAGCCCUGUGACCCCAUUCAGUAGACACUGGUCACAGGCGUGGUCAUCACACCCCUGAAGUGUGGCCAGUGCCACGUGUUGAAAUGACAAUAUUGUAGACGCAGCAGGUUAAAGAAAAUAAAUCCUUGU